CAUAUUUUGGAAAAGUACAACUUCAAAUGUUCUAGGACUUCGAUUAUUGUUGUAGGUCGUUCGAUGGAAUGCCAUUCAUUUCCUGUUGACGAUUGUCGCCACGCAAGGUGCUUUGGUGCUGACAUCCGACCAACAGUUUGCACAACUUCAGGGUGAUAUAACUUUAACCUGCAACACGAGUGUUACGUCGGUAGAGUUUAAAAAAGAUACCAAAUAUGUGGGAAGAUGCAGCACGUUUGGAUGUGAGACAUCAAAUACAACCAAGUUCCUUUUGAUCGGAAAUACAGAGCCUGCUGGAUACAACGUAUUCAGCUUAACAAUUAUGGAUUUUUUGGUGAACGACCGAGGCUAUUAUACAUGCUUAAAUUCUUAUUUAAUCGAACAGGUUUCUGGAACACACAUCACAUAUGCAGCCUCUCUUCAACUUGGGCGAAGAAUUACUGCUUUCCGACCUUCAAAGAACAGCAUGCAUCAGUUUGUACGGGGGAAACGACGUGCAAACUCUUCACCAGUUACGAUGCAUCAUAGCCAAGUCUUCUGUUUAUCCCAGGAACAUUCCCCCAACCGCUGACAGUCUCAAUCUUCAUCUGCAAAGAUGUGUGAUCCAGUUGUGGAUAUAGAGACACGCCACUACAGCACAACACGAUCUUCCUCCAUUUACCUUCUUUGGAUAUGAAAUAGACGGAGAUGGUUUGACACCAAAAAUGAUGAGUCAGCCAGCCGCUGCACCAGAACUCUUGAACGACCUCGUUGGCGGAUGCGA